CUCCGAGAGAAUGCUAAAGCUUAAGACUCCUUGGUACGUGUCUUGCAUGAACUAAAGCCAAGGAUAUCAACUUCAUUUUUCUACUCUGCUGUAACUUCUAGAAGUCACCAGUAACUUUUGAACUAUGGACAUGCUCAGUUUAUCUUCUUGUCAAGCUCCAUGAAACCGCUCUUCAGAGACAGCAAAAGCAACUCAAGUUUUCUGUGAAGGGACCUCUGAUGGUGGAAAAGACAUUUUGCUUUUGGGGGUCUCAGUAACUGCCACUGUAUAAAGUGACCUGUAAAAUGUGUAAGAUCAGAAAAGACUCACAAAUCAGAUGGUCAGGACAGUGGCAGCCCACGCCCACAGGACACAAUACAAUUUGGUCAAGGCUCAAAGAAAGGAAAAGUUGCCAACACGAUUCCCAAAAUAAUUAAUGAAAACCCGGCUCAGUCUGCAACAGCUGAUUUGAGUU